GAUGAACGCUGACAGAAUGCUUAACACAUGCCAGUCAACUUGAAUUUGGGUUUUUAACUUAGGUUUGGGUGGCGGACGGGUGAGUAACGCGUAAAGAACUUGCCUCACAGCUAGGGACAACAUUUGGAAACGAAUGCUAAUACCUAAUAUUAUGAUAAUAGGGCAUCCUAUAUUUAUGAAAGCUAUAAGCGCUGUGAGAGAGCUUUGCGUCCCAUUAGCUAGUUGGAGAGGUAACGGCUCACCAAGGCGAUGAUGGGUAGCCGGCCUGAGAGGGUGAUCGGCCACAAGGGGACUGAGACACGGCCCUUACUCCUACGGGAGGCAUCAGUGGGGAAUAGUGGACAAUGGACCGAGAGUCUGAUGCAGCAAUUCUGUGUGCACGAUGAAGUUUUUCGGAAUGUAAAGUGCUUUCAGUUGGGAAGAAACAAAUGACGGUACCAACAGAAGAAGUGACGGCUAAAUACGUG
rnacentral:rRNA from 1 species